rnacentral:sRNA from 1 species
AUUGAUAUUUAAUUUAAUUGGUAUUAAUAACAUAUACUCUAACUUUUAAAACGCAAGAGUUACCCGUCACUUGUUUGAUUGGACUGAUAACUCAUAUUUCAUCAAAAAUAAUAAUAAUAUGAAAUAAAAAUAGUUUAUUUAUAUUAAUAGGGGAGUAAGCCUACAACUUCAUGAUCUAUGUUUUUAUAAUUAAGAGAUUCUUGUUUAUAGAGGUUUUGAAAAUACUGAAUUUUGUUUGAUAAAUUGGAAGUGUUUAACACUAAGUAGAUAGGAAUUUGCAUAAGUUGUAGCAAUACGUUUUAUUUAGUUGUAUAAUUUACAUUUCAGAAUUUAGAAUAAUUUUUAUAAAAAAAGAAAUUGAACAAGCUGACUAACUAAAAGUAAGAAAGGGCCACAACUUGUAGUACACAAAAUGUAAUAGUAGACUUCAUUUGCGGACAUGCAUCACCAGUGUUCCAAAACUGUCAAGUUGAGGCCUGAAACGUGACAUAGCAAUGUUAUAAUUGUUCUGUCAAUGGAAGGACAGAGCAAUGUUAUAACUGCUCAACAACGUGAUAAGUCGGGCGAAAGUUUGGGAUUUUCAAUUCAAAAAUGUGAAAAUAUACUAAAUAUGUACUCAUAUACUAAAUAUACUAAAAAGUAUUUUUGUGAAUUUAUUUGAGUUUAUGUAUGUUAACGUGUAUGGCCGUUUGAUAUGGGAAGUGGAUGUUUAUUUUUGGCCAAGGGAGAUAGUAGUGUUGCUAAUAUUGUUUUUUUGAACGACUUGAUCCCUCAUUGAAGGUUUAGUUCUAUAUUAAACUUGUCUGUAAUUUGAAGAAGUCAUCGAGCAAAGCCUUGGGUGGCUUUGUUUGUAUGUAUCUUUGUUUGGUUUGGUUAAAUGAUUUUUAAAGGUAAUAUGUUGAAUUGAUCAAUGGAUGUGAAAGGAUGAUCAAGAAACUAUGUUCAUGAAAAUUUUGAAAUUUGUGUUCAACUUUUAUGCAAAAGAUGAGCAGAAUUACGAUCCUUUCAAAGCCUUUUUUUUUCACCACCAUAUUUUCUCUCAGCUAUUGUAAAGUGAUUGGUUUAGUUACAUUUCACGUAAACUUUAGUGAUAAUCAAAAUAUUUUAUCUUAAUGACAUUAGACCCUUGACUUUGUAUUGUAUCUCACAUUUUUUCUUCUAGUUAUUUCUUAGGUUCUUUAAAAAAUAAUUACUGUAUUUAACUAAAUUAGAUAUGCCAUAUUUUAUUUCUUGUUCCAAGUACCAAAGAGCCUAGGCACGACAAUGUGUGUAUUCACUCUUUAAUGGUUCUAUAACAAAAUUUUAGUGAAAAUGGUGUUGUUUGUUUUAGGCUAUUUAUCAAUAUCUUCGAGGUUCAUGAUUCUAUUUGUUAUUUCAUUUUGAUAUUAUUCUGCCAUGCCCUUUACCCAUUUUGCACCACCUCCAUCAUGAGGUUUGAUAUUGAUAUCCAUUAGAAAAUAUUAUGAAAACAUCUUUGACACAAAAAAUUAUGAAACCAAAUGUAAUAUUCAACAAACUAAAAUUU